rnacentral:rRNA from 1 species
UUCGUUGUAGCAAUACGAUGGAAAGUUUAGUGGCGAACGGGUGCUUAACACGUGGGCAACCUGCCAGGAAGUGGGGGAUAGCUCGCCGAAAGGCGAAUUAAUACCGCAUGUGAUUAGAGAGGACAUCCUUUCGAAAUUAAAGUCGGGGCAACCUGACGCUUCUUGUGGGGCCCGCGGCCUAUCAGCUAGUUGGUGAGGUAACGGCCCACCAAGGCUUUGACGGGUAGCUGGUCUGAGAGGACGACCAGCCACACUGGGACUGAGACACGGCCCAGACACCUACGGGUGGCAGCAGUCGAGAAUUUUUGACAAUGGGGGAAACCCUGAUCGAGCGACGCCGCGUGGAGGAUGAAGGUCUUCGGAUUGUAAACUCCUGUCAUUGGGGAACAAUGCACAGAUAUUAACUGUAUUUGUGUUGAUAGUACCCGAAGAGGAAGAGACGGCUAACUCUGUGCCAGCAGCCGCGGUAAUACAGAGGUCUCAAGCGUUGUUCGGAUUCAUUGGGCGUAAAGGGUGCGUAGGCGGCGCGGUAAGUCGGGUGUGAAAUCUUGGAGCUUAACUCCGAAACUGCAUUCGAUACUGCCGUGCUUGAGGACUGGAGAGGAGACUGGAAUUCACGGUGUAGCAAGGCGAUU